rnacentral:rRNA from 1 species
CUGCCCUGCCCACUGAAUAUUGUUUGAAGGGCCGCAGUAUUUUGACUGUGCAAAGGUAGCAUAAUCAUUAGUCUUUUAAUUGAAGGCUGGUAUGAAUGGUUGGAUGAGAUACAAGCUGUGUCAUAAAAAUUAAUAUUUGAAUUUACCUUUUUAGUCAAAAGGCUAAAAUAAUCUUAAAAGACGAGAAGACCCCGUAGAGCUUUAUAUAAUUAAUAUUUAAAUUAUUAAGAUUUUUAAAAUUUAAUUAUUAAAUUAUAUUUUGUUGGGGUGACAAUAAAAUUAAUAAAACUUUUAUUUUUAAUUAACAUUGAUUUAUGAGUAAAUGAUCCAGUUUUAUUGAUUAUAAAUUUAAGUUACCUUGGGGAUAACAGCGUAAUUUUUUUUGAGAGUUCUUAUCGACAAAAAAGAUUGCGACCUCGAUGUUGGAUUAAGAGUAAUUUUGGGUGUAGAAGUUCAAAGUNUUAAGUCUGUUCGACUUUUAAAUUCUU